GGCUCUUUCUUUCAAUGGUUAGGAAACUGGUUUUGUACUCCAGUAAUAUCAGUUCGAUUCUGGUAAGAGCCU
rnacentral:tRNA from 2 species